rnacentral:lncRNA from 1 species
UAACGACAACAGCAAACUAAUUUCUUCUUCUACUAUUUUCUUUUCUUUCCUUUUUUUUUUAAACAAAGUGAAGGGUUGCGAGAAUGUAAUAGUCGGGUGAAGUAACGAUGGAUGUGGUGGUUAUUGGUUGUUGACCGGUUGUGGCUCACAGUGAUCAGUAAGUCGGAGGUAGUGCGGUGGAGGUUGAAUGGUAGUUGACGGUGUUAGAGAAUGACGGGGUGGACUGGUGAUGGAGAGAUGGUGAUGGAGAGAUGGUGACGGAACUGUGUUGACCGGAACAGUGGUGGUGCGGCUGUGACCGACGUUGAUGAUCGGAAGAACGGGUUCAAUGUGGUUCGGUUUAGUAUGGGUUGGUAGUAGAUCUAUUAGAGCCGAUACAAAUUCAAAACAUUUCAAGACUAAACGGCAACAAGAAACUUGAUGGUUUAGUCAGCGGUGGUUUUGGUCGAAGUCAGUUCACCGGAUACGCGGCGGCGCCGGAAUAACUUGCCGGAACCCUAAAUUAUGGCCGGAAGUUAGCCGGAGACGGAAUGAUUCAAAACAGAAAAUGUAUAUGUAUUUAAUUUGUUAUUAUAUACGCUGAUAAAUCCUUUUUCUACC